rnacentral:rRNA from 1 species
UACAGAGGGGGCAAGCGUUAUUCGGAAUUAUUGGGCGUAAAGGGCGCGUAGGCGGCGAUUCAAGUGACGGGUGAAAUCCCUCGGCUUAACCGAGGAACUGCCUGUCAGACUGGGUUGCUUGAGACCGGGAGAGGCGAGUGGAAUUCCCAGUGUAGCGGUGAAAUGCGUAGAUAUUGGGAGGAACACCAGUGGCGAAGGCGGUCCCCUGGGCCGGAACUGACGCUGAGGCGCGAAAGCGUGGGUAGCAAACGGG